GUAGUCAUAUGCUUGUCUCAAAGAUUAAGCCAUGCAUGUCUAAGUAUAAGCAAUCUAUACGGUGAAACUGCGAAUGGCUCAUUAAAUCAGUUAUCGUUUAUUUGAUAGUACCUUACUACUUGGAUAACCGUGGUAAUUCUAGAGCUAAUACAUGCUAAAAACCCCGACUUCGGAAGGGGUGUAUUUAUUAGAUAAAAAACCAAUGCCCUUCGGGGCUCCUUGGUGAUUCAUAAUAACUUAACGAAUCGCAUGGCCUUGUGCCGGCGAUGGUUCAUUCAAAUUUCUGCCCUAUCAACUUUCGAUGGUAGGAUAGUGGCCUACCAUGGUUUCAACGGGUAACGGGGAAU
rnacentral:rRNA from 1 species